rnacentral:misc_RNA from 1 species
GAUAAGAACGUAGCGAAAUGCGAUAAGUAAUGUGAAUUGCAGAAUUCAGUGAAUCAUCGAAUCUUUGAACGCAUCUUGCGCUCCUUGGUAUUCCGAGGAGCAUGCCUGUUUGAGUGUCAUUUUAACUUCUCAACCAUAUCGAAUUGUUUUUCGAGGUGGCUUGGACAUGGGGGUUUUUGCAGGCUUUAAUAAUGAAGUCGGCUCCUCUGAAAUGCAUUAGUGGUAUCUGAAGCAGAACUGCUACUAUUAGGUGUGAUAAUUAUCUAUGCCUCUUGGUAUACUGCAUGAACAGAUUGCGCUGCUUCCAACUUGUACACCCUUUGGUGUUUGACAAAUUUGACCUCAAAUCAGGUAGGACUACCCGCUGAACUUAAGCAUAUCAAUAAGCGGAGGA